GUGAAGAGGGAAGAGCCCAAGAUUGAAAGCUGGCGCCUUCGGCGUCCGCAUUGUAAUCUCAAGAAGUGUUUUCCGCUUCGGACCAUGCCUAAGUCCCUUGGAAAAGGGCAUCAUAGAGGGUGAUAAUCCCGUACAUGGCAUGGAGCGCCCGAAGCUUUGUGAUACGCUUUCUAAGAGUCGAGUUGUUUGGGAAUGCAGCUCAAAAUGGGUGGUAAAUGCCAUCUAAGGCUAAAUAUUGGGGAGAGACCGAUAGCGAACAAGUACAGUGAUGGAAAGAUGAAAAGAACUUUGAAAAGAGAGUUAAACAGUACGUGAAAUUGCCAAAAGGGAAGGGUAGGAGGUCAGAGAUGCGUCUUGGAAUUCAGCCUUGCUUUUUCGCUUGGUGUUUUUUCCAAGUUUGCAGGCCAACGUCGGUUUUGGGCACUGGAGAAGGGUGGAAGGAACGUGGCACCUCUCGGGGUGUGUUAUAGCCUUCUACUGGAUACAGCGACCGAGACCGAGGACAGCAGCGUACUCGCAAGAGCGGGCCCUCGGGCACCUUUACGCUUAGGGCGUUGGCAUAAUGGCCCUCUACCACCCGUCUU
rnacentral:rRNA from 1 species